CCCACAAAUUUUAAGAUGGCAGCCCAAGAGUCUAGCUUGUUUCCCUAAUUUUUCAUCAUCACUGCCAAAUUUGCCCCCAUGUAAAGAGGAUACCCUAAACGAGCAAUCAGUUUUCUUCUUUUGAAACCGUCGCAGUAUAUCCUAUGAGGAUUGAAAUCGUCGAUUGAAACAAUGAGAUCGGUUAUGGCAAUGAAAUCGUUAAUGGUUGGAGCAAUUAAUGGAAAUUGAUGAUUGAAUGGUGGGAGCUGAAGAGAUUCAAAGAAUUGAAUAUGUCCCUUCGUUUCCAGAACCGCACCUCUGUAUAAUCUGCGAUUCUCAUUUAGGAAGCCCAAUAUCGUCACCAUACCAGAUUUCUUGAAUUAUCCUAAGAGCCAUCGAUUUUGGAGCUUUCAAAUUGGCCUUCCAUUCUUUAAACCCAG
rnacentral:lncRNA from 1 species